AGAGUUUGAUUAUGGCUCAGGAUGAACGCUAGCGAUAGGCCUAACACAUGCAAGUCGAGGGGCAGCACAUGAAGUAGCAAUACGGAUGGUGGCGACCGGCGCACGGGUGAGUAACGCGUAUGCAACCUGCCUACAACAGGGGAAUAACCCGUUGAAAGACGGACUAAUACCCCAUAACACAGGGAUCCCGCAUGGGAAUAUUUGUUAAAGAUUUAUCGGUUGUAGAUGGGCAUGCGUUCCAUUAGCUGGUUGGUGAGGUAACGGCUCACCAAGGCAACGAUGGAUAGGGGAACUGAGAGGUUUAUCCCCCACACUGGUACUGAGACACGGACCAGACUCCUACGGGAGGCAGCAGUGAGGAAUAUUGGUCAAUGGACGCAAGUCUGAACCAGCCACGUCGCGUGAAGGAAGACGGCCCUACGGGUUGUAAACUUCUUUUGUAAGGGAAUAAAGUGCAGUACGUGUACUGUUUUGCAUGUACCUUACGAAUAAGGAUCGGCUAACUCCGUGCCAGCAGCCGCGGUAAUACGGAGGAUCCGAGCGUUAUCCGGAUUUAUUGGGUUUAAAGGGUGCGCAGGCGGGAGAUUAAGUCGGCGGUGAAAUUUUGCAGCUCAACUGUAAAAGUGCCUUCGAAACUGGUUUUCUUGAGUGUGGAUGAAGUAGGCGGAAUUUGUGGUGUAGCGGUGAAAUGCAUAGAUAUCACGAGGAACUCCGAUUGCGCAGGCAGCUUACUAAACCAUAACUGACGCUCAGGCACGAAGGCGUGGGGGUCAAACAGGAUUAGAUACCCUGGUAGUC
rnacentral:rRNA from 1 species